UACGUAGGGUGCAAGCGUUGUCCGGAAUUAUUGGGCGUAAAGAGCUCGUAGGCGGUUUGUCACGUCGGAUGUGAAAACCCGAGGCUUAACCUCGGGCCUGCAUUCGAUACGGGCUGACUAGAGUUCGGUAGGGGAGACUGGAAUUCCUGGUGUAGCGGUGAAAUGCGCAGAUAUCAGGAGGAACACCAAUUGCGAAGGCAGCUCGCUGGGACGUUACUGACGCUGAGACGCGAAAGCGUGGGGAGCAAACAGG
rnacentral:rRNA from 1 species